ensembl:lncRNA
GUCAGGAACACCUGGUGUCCGUCCUGAAGGUUAUAAAUCAGCGUUCAGGAGGUGUGGCGGCAGGGGAAGAAGGCACACGGUUGAAACCAUGGCACCAAGAAGGAUAAGGAAAAUCGGCAAUCAGACAGAAGGACACGCAGAUGGUCAAAUUAGCAAGGAGAUACGCCAAAAGCAAGGGACGCUUUUUAUUCAACAGUUCGAGAAAGAAGGCUGUUCAUUUUAACGGAUGGCAAUUCGGCAGGUGAAGUCACCAUCGCCAUAAAGACCGAAUCACACGAGAUUCACCAGCCUCUCACAAGGAAGGUCAGUAAAGUCAAAGUAAGUGAAGGUGCAUCAGCUCAUAAAAGGAAGACUACAACAGAACCACCAAAGGUUUCCAAGAAAGCCAGAUCACUUGCCAAUGGCGGCUCAAGCACUGGAAGCCUACGGAGUGCCACAUCCACAAGUACAAAAAUAACCAACUCGCAUUGCCAAAAUCAGUGAUCAAUCUCCACUGACUGGGACGAAACACAGAUCUGUUUUGUGGUCAGCCAGUGAUGACCACCUGUGUUGCUCCCUGUCUGGAUUGUCUCCACAUGUAAUGAUCUCUACAUCCCAUGGAGAGACUUUGUGCCUCUCGGAUGAUACUGUUGAAGAUGUUGACAUCGGGUUACUGGAUGAUAUGGCUGUUCUCUAGAUGCAGAAGUUGAUGAAACUGAUGGACUAUCUUUUAAACAAAGUCAAAGCGACUCAGCCUAUGAAUUAGUCUGCAAUGAUACCAAGACGUCUAACAUUGAGCCACUAAUGCCACCUAUGCAUGUUUUACUUUCAAAUUUAAAAGUUGAUUCAAUAUAGUUCCGAUUUGUAUAUUCAUUAAUAAUCAAUAAACUGACUGGCUUUAUUAAUGUCUACAGUAUUAUGCAAUUUGGUUUCCCCUCAGGUUAUUGAUGUGUCAUUGCAACAUUAAAGGUCCUCAAUGACAUCACCAUUGCCCUUGUUUCUAAGCAAUGUUGUGCUGCUAUUUUUGACUUGGCCAAAGCUUUUGAUAUGGUAGACCAGUGGUUCCCAAACUUUUUAAAGUUCUGUACCCCUUCAAAUAUUAAACCUCCAGCUGCAUACCAGGGUCAGCACAC